rnacentral:rRNA from 1 species
AGGGCACCACCAGGAGUGGAGCCUGCGGCUUAAUUUGACUCAACACGGGAAAACUCACCCGGCCCGGACACUGGAAGGAUUGACAGAUUGAGAGCUCUUUCUUGAUUCAGUGGGUGGUGGUGCAUGGCCGUUCUUAGUUGGUGGAGUGAUUUGUCUGGUUAAUUCCGAUAACGAACGAGACUCUAGCCUAUUAAAUAGAUCGUUGGCUUACAAACGCCGGCGAGACUUCUUAGAGGGACAGGCGGCGAUUCAGCCGCACGAAACAGAGCAAUAACAGGUCUGUGAUGCCCUUAGAUGUCCGGGGCCGCACGCUCGCUACACUGAAGUGAUCAGCGUGCAUUUUGAAACCUACUCUGUCAAGAGUGGGGAACCCAAUGAACCUUCUUCGUGAUUGGGAUAGGGGAUUGUAAUUAUUCCCCUUGAACGAGGAAUUCCCAGUAAGCGCGAAUCAUAAGUUUGCGCUGAUUACGUCCCUGCCCUUUGUACACACCGCCCGUCGCUACUACCGAUUGAAUGUUU